rnacentral:rRNA from 1 species
AUGGAGGCCCUGGCGGAGACGGGGAGCGGCGGCCAUCUGGUGCCUCUCCUCGACGGCGGCGGCGGCGGCGGCCUGGACGCGGCCCUCCUCCGCCGCCUCUACGCCGGUCACUUCCUCGCCAGAUGGGGCGCACGCAUGUGGGAGUUCUCGGUGGGGCUGUACAUGAUCCGCGUCUGGCCGGGCUCGCUGCUCUUCGCCGCCGUCUACGGCGUCGUCGAGUCCGCCUCCGUCGCCGUCUUCGGCCCCAUGGUCGGCACCCUGGUCGACAGCCUCACGUACCUCCAGUUUUUGGGCCUGUGGCUGCUAGUUCAAAGCUUAUCCUUCAUCGUUGCUGGAGUCUCGGUAACCGCGCUGCUGGUCUACGAUGACCUGAAAGUGACGAGCUUCCCCGUCUUCGUGGCUCUAGUCGUGGUCACCAACGUGUCAGGCGCGCUCGCGGCGCUCUCGACUCUCGCCGGAACCAUACUGAUCGAGAGAGAAUGGGUGGUGGUGAUGUGCGGCGGGCAUCCGCCGGCGGCGCUGACCCGAACCAACUCGGCGAUCCGGAGGAUCGACCUGAGCUGCAAGCUUCUGGCGCCGGUGCUGUCGGGGUUCGUGAUCAGCUUCGUGUCCACGCAGGCCUCUGCGGUGGCGCUGGCGCUGUGGAACGUCGCCUCGGUGUGGCUGGUGUACUGGCUCUUCGUGUCGGUGUACAACAGCGUGCCCGCUCUCGGCGCCAACAGCCUGGCAAGGGACGCGGCGGCCUCGGCGCCGGAGGCCGACGAGGCGGUGCAGGGUUACUCCCAGGACGCGUCGUCAGAUUGGAGCGAGAGACUGACGGCGCGGCUCUCCGUCCUGCCCUGCUGGGAGUCCUGGGCCGUGUACGCGAGGCAGGAGGUGGUGCUGCCGGGUGUUGCUCUCGCCAUACUCUACUUCUCCGUGCUAAGCUUUGGCACGCUGAUGACGGCGACGCUGGACUGGGAGGGCAUCCCGGCGUACGUGACCAGCCUGGCCCGGGGGUUCAGCGCCAUGGUGGGCAUCGCGGCGACGGUGGUGUACCCGGCCGCGCACGCGCGGCUGUCCACGCUCCGGACGGGGCUCUGGUCCAUCUGGACGCAGUGGUGCUGCCUGCUGCUCUGCGUCGGCUCCGUCUGGGUGGGCGGCCGCGUGGCGUCGGCGUGGGUGCUCAUGGCCGGCGUUGCCGCCUCGCGCCUCGGCCUCUGGAUGUUCGACCUGGCCGUCACGCAGUUGAUGCAGGACGGCGUGCCCGACGCGGACCGGUGCGCCGUCGGAGGCGUCCAGAGCUCGCUGCAGUCCGUGUUCGACCUGCUCACCUACGUCAUGGGCAUCAUCAUCUCCGACCCCAGGGAUUUCGGCGAGCUCAUCGCGCUCUCCUUCUUGCUGGUGACCUGCGCUGCGGCCAUGUACACGCUGCACGUGUACCGCGUACGCAAGCACCUGUUCCACCUUGACAAGAUCUUCGCCAAGAUGCAAUAG